GACGAACGCUGGCGGCGUGCUUAACACAUGCAAGUCGAACGGACCUUAUGGAAUAGUUUACUAGGAAAUAAGGUUAGUGGCGGACGGGUGAGUAACACGUGGAUAAUCUGCCUGGCACACAGGGAUAACACUGUGAAAACGGUGCUAAUACCGGAUACGCUCUACUGAUUGCAUAACUGGUAGAGGAAAGGGGGAACCCGGUGCGAGAUGAGUCCGCGGCUGAUUAGCUAGUUGGUGGGGUAAGAGCCUACCAAGGCGACGAUCAGUAGCCGGCCUGAGAGGGUGAACGGCCACACUGGAACUGAGACACGGUCCAGACUCCUACGGGAGGCAGCAGUGGGGAAUCUUCCGCAAUGGGCGAAAGCCUGACGGAGCAACGCCGCGUGGGUGACGAAGGCCUUCGGGUUGUAAAGCCCUGUCUUAUGGGAAGAAAAAAUAGACGGUACCAUAGGAGGAAGCCACGGCUAACUACGUGCCAGCAGCCGCGGUAAGAGUCACGUCG
rnacentral:rRNA from 1 species